CACACGGGAUACAUCAGUUUAGGGCCUGCAAGAUUUUCCUUGACCAUCACCAUGCGUG
rnacentral:misc_RNA from 1 species